CGCAAGAAGAGGAAAGUCCGAGCACCACAGGACAGAGUGCCGGCUAACUACCGGUGAAGGUGACUUCAAGGAAAGUGCAACAGAAAUAGACCGCUUGGCGACAAGCAAGGAUGGAAAGGCGAGGUAAGAGCUCACCGUUCCCUUGGUAACAAGGGAAGCCAUGUAAACCCCACUCGGUGCAAGUUUCGGGAGGAUAAGGUGGUCCGCUACUCUCGGUAUACGCUUGAGCAAUAUGGUAACCUAUUGCCUAGACAGAUGAUUAUCCAAUACAGAACUCGGCUUACAGAUUA
rnacentral:RNase_P_RNA from 1 species